GGCGGGUUAGCGAAGUGGUCAAACGCAUGCGGCUGUAAACCGCACCUCUCAGAGUUCCCAGGUUCGAAUCCUGGACCCGCCA
rnacentral:tRNA from 1 species